GAAGCAGGGCCUGGGUGUUGAGGCUGUGGACCUAAGUCCCAAGAUACAGGAUUUCAUGCACAUGAGUUGAGAGGUCUGCUGAUAUAUAGGGAAAGAGAGAAGCAACUUAUCUCAUACAAGAAAUCUGUGCCAGAGCUGUGGAGUGACCCUAGAUUACCUGAGAAUCAGGUCAAUGCUUUAACUGCUAAGGCCAAUCUUCCGCUGAUCUGCAAGGAGUUUGCAGAGCACACCAAGGCAGGACCGGCACUCUGACCUUUGAUUAUACACUUUUCUCUGUUAAAGUUGAAAAGCUGACUACUUGGCGGCUGAGAAUUUACCCUUCCUCUUGCCCCUGUACAAUAGCUGCUUUUCACGUGGAAUCUGCACAAAAGAAACAUUUUGUUCUUUCUCUGCUGAUCAGAAGAACUGAGCACCAGUUACAUUAAAAGCAUAAGGGCCUGACCCUAGCACACAUUGUUUUCAAAAACAAAGCUUCUAUUGAUAUCAGUGGAUGUGGAAUUAGACCUAUGCUCUGGAAGAGCACUGCUAGCAAAUUGCUGUUAAGUAAAUUAAUGCAAAAUGAUUAAAAAAAAAGGAAAAAAAGCUAAGGCUUCAUAAAAUGAAAAUACAGAUUAAAAGUGAUUUGCAAACAAACGCUAUUUUCGAGUUUCCCCAAG
rnacentral:lncRNA from 1 species